rnacentral:rRNA from 1 species
AGAGUUUGAUCCUGGCUCAGAUUGAACGCUGGCGGCAGGCCUAACACAUGCAAGUCGAGCGGAUGACGGGAGCUUGCUCCUUGAUUCAGCGGCGGACGGGUGAGUAAUGCCUAGGAAUCUGCCUGGUAGUGGGGGACAACGUUUCGAAAGGAACGCUAAUACCGCAUACGUCCUACGGGAGAAAGCAGGGGACCUUCGGGCCUUGCGCUAUCAGAUGAGCCUAGGUCGGAUUAGCUAGUUGGUGGGGUAAUGGCUCACCAAGGCGACGAUCCGUAACUGGUCUGAGAGGAUGAUCAGUCACACUGGAACUGAGACACGGUCCAGACUCCUACGGGAGGCAGCAGUGGGGAAUAUUGGACAAUGGGCGAAAGCCUGAUCCAGCCAUGCCGCGUGUGUGAAGAAGUCUUCGGAUAGUAAAGCACUUAAGUUGGGAGGAAGGGCAGUAAGCUAAUACCUUGCUGCUUUGACGUUACCGACAGAAUAAGCACCGGCUAACUCUGUGCCAGCAGCCGCGGUAAUACAGAGGGUGCAAGCGUUAAUCGGAAUUACUGGGCGUAAAGCGCGCGUAGGUGGUUUGUUAAGUUGGAUGUGAAA